rnacentral:misc_RNA from 1 species
GAUGAAGAACGCAGUAAAAUGCGAUAAGUAAUGUGAAUUGCAGAAUUCAGUGAAUCAUCGAAUCUUUGAACGCACAUUGCGCCCGCUGGUAUUCCGGCGGGCAUGCCUGUUCGAGCGUCAUUUCAACCCUCAAACCCCCGGGUUUGGUGUUGGGGAUCGGCUCUGCCUCACGGCGGUGCCGCCCCCGAAAUACAUUGGCGGUCUCGCUGCAGCCUCCAUUGCGUAGUAGCUAACACCUCGCAACUGGAACGCGGCGCGGCCAUGCCGUAAAACCCCAACUUCUGAAUGUUGACCUCGGAUCAGGUAGGAAUACCCGCUGAACUUAAGCAUAUCAAUAAGCGGAGGA